rnacentral:rRNA from 1 species
GUGGGGAAUUUUGCGCAAUGGGCGCAAGCCUGACGCAGCGACGCCGCGUGAGUGAUGAAGGCCUUCGGGUCGUAAAGCUCUGUCGGACGGGAACGAACAACCCCGUGGCUAAUAUCCACGGGGUCUGACGGUACUUGUCCAGAAAGCACCGGCCAACUCUGUGCCAGCAGCCGCGGUAAUACAGAGGGUGCAAGCGUUGUUCGGAAUCAUUGGUCGUAAAGGGCGUGUAGGCGGGAAUGCAUGUCGGAUGUGAAAGCCCUGGGCUCAACCGAGGAAUUGCAUCCGAAACUGCAUUUCUUGAGUACGGGAGAGGGAAGCGGAAUUCCCAGUGUAGAGGUGAAAUUCGUAGAUAUUGGGAGGAACACCGGUGGCGAAGGCGGCUUCCUGGACCGAUACUGACGCUGAGACGCGAAAGCGUGGGGAGCAAACAGGAUUAGAAACCCCUGUAGUCC